UUGGGGUGGGGGAGGGGCCACGUUGUUUUCACCAACCUCUGACGGGCCGUUUUGAUGAAAGAGCAGUUUGGGCAGGUUCUGGACAGAGCUCCCCAUGGAGUCCUGGCCAUGGGACAUCUUCAGCCAGGGUUGCCUCGUUUCAGCUGAAAGAUGUCAGAGGCUGUGAUGAGCCCGGAAAAAGCCACCUACGGCAGGGAGCUCCUAAAGCAGUAACCAUCAUCUUCAUCUACCGCUGUGACAACCUACGACUAACUGGGAGGCUUAUAAAUAGAAGUUUAUUUCUUGCAAUUAUGUUACAAAGCUGCGAAGUCCAAGAUCAAGACUGCAGCAGACUCAGAGACUGGGUGGGACCUGCUUCCUGGGUCACAUAGAGCAGUUUCCUCUGUGUAUCCACAGGUGGCCGACUGGGUAAGGGAGCUCCCUGGGGUCUCUCUUUUUGUUUUUUUAGGGCUGUACCUGAAGCAUAUGGAAGUUCCCAGGCUAGGAGUUGAAGUGGAGCUGUAGCUGCUGGCCACAGCCACAGUCACACAGGAUCUGAGCUGCGUCUGUGACCUACACCACAGCCCACAGCAACGCCGGAUCCUUAGCCCACCGAGUGAGGCCAGGGAUCAAACCUACAUCUUUGUGGAUACUAGUCAGGUUCUUAACCCACUGAGCCACAGUGGGAACUCCUCUCUGGAGUCUCUUUACAAGAGUGCAGGUCCACCGGGAGGGCUCCACAUUUAGGAGCAGAGCACUCCCCCGAGGCCUCAUCUUCAAGCACCAUCACAAUGGGGGUUAGGAUUUCAAUCCAGGAAUGUGGGGGAGGGGACACAAACAUUCAAUCACUUGCACCCAUAAAGCACUUUCUGUCCGUUAGGGUGCAGCAAAGUGGAGAAUUUUUUUUUUUUUUCUUAAUAUGACUGGAGGGGAGCUACACACACUUUUCAGACCACAUUCGCAGGGCCUCAGUUCUCUAGGUAGAGGCUUCAAAGCCCCUCCUUUGAUGAUGACAUCAAGGUGGGCAGGUGGGCAGCUCAGAGCCCUUGGCUUUGGAGAAGUCUCAGCAUUUCAUGUCUAUUUUUUAAGUUCACCCUGAAGGUCACCCUUGUCCAGGAAACAAAGGCUGGGGUUGGGGGAUGUGAGGAUGAAUUAGGC
rnacentral:lncRNA from 1 species